rnacentral:rRNA from 1 species
UACGGAGGGUGCGAGCGUUGUCCGGAAUCACUGGGCGUAAAGGGCGCGUAGGUGGCGCGGGCAGUCAACGGUGAAAGUUCGGGGCUCAACCCCGAGCCUGCAGUCGAUACGGGCAGACUAGAGUGCGGUAGGGGAGACUGGAAUUCCUGGUGUAGCGGUGAAAUGCGCAGAUAUCAGGAGGAACACCGGUGGCGAAGGCGGGUCUCUGGGCCGUAACUGACGCUGAGGAGCGAAAGCGUGGGGAGCGAACAGG